rnacentral:rRNA from 1 species
CGGGUGAGUAACACGUGGGUAACCUGCCCAUAAGACUGGGAUAACUCCGGGAAACCGGGGCUAAUACCGGAUAACAUUUUGAACCGCAUGGUUCGAAAUUGAAAGGCGGCUUCGGCUGUCACUUAUGGAUGGACCCGCGUCGCAUUAGCUAGUUGGUGAGGUAACGGCUCACCAAGGCAACGAUGCGUAGCCGACCUGAGAGGGUGAUCGGCCACACUGGGACUGAGACACGGCCCAGACUCCUACGGGAGGCAGCAGUAGGGAAUCUUCCGCAAUGGACGAAAGUCUGACGGAGCAACGCCGCGUGAGUGAUGAAGGCUUUCGGGUCGUAAAACUCUGUUGUUAGGGAAGAACAAGUGCUAGUUGAAUAAGCUGGCACCUUGACGGUACCUAACCAGAAAGCCACGGCUAACUACGUGCCAGCAGCCGCGGUAAUACGUAGGUGGCAAGCGUUAUCCGGAAUUAUUGGGCGUAAAGCGCGCGCAGGUGGUUUCUUAAGUCUGAUGUGAAAGCCCACGGCUCAACCGUGGAGGGUCAUUGGAAACUGGGAGACUUGAGUGCAGAAGAGGAAAGUGGAAUUCCAUGUGUAGCGGUGAAAUGCGUAGAGAUAUGGAGGAACACCAGUGGCGAA